rfam:Camelus ferus unplaced genomic scaffold scaffold1279, whole genome shotgun sequence.
GAGGGUACAGCUCAGUAGUAGUGCGUGUGCUUAGCAUGCACAAGGUCUUGGGUUCCAUCCCAAGUACCUCCA